CAUGCAGUUAGACGACUCAUUUUAUUAUGUUAAAUUGUUGAACAUUUGCAAUGUCGAUUUUAUUAUGUUUGCAUGUUUUGACAAAAGGGACAGUUUUAGAAGAACAUUAUCUAUUUCUAUUAUUUCUGUGGAAACUGGUGCAAGUUCAUGCUGAAGAAAAAAAACUUACUGGGGAAAUAAUGUUUUAGAACUUGUUUUGUAUGACGUCUUUGUCAUUUGCUUUUCUAUAAGCGAAGAUGGGAGGAACCUGCUAUUACUGGGAGUCCACUCCUCCCCCCAAGGAGCCGGCGCAGAUCAUUCGCGGUGUCAUGUGCAUGCCAUAGAUGCUCGGGUGGCGGCAGACGGACUCAGCGAUCACCUUCACCUGAGCUUGCCUGAGCUCAUCUGACACAAAACCUGACAACAUAAAGACUUCCCGUGAUCCAACACGGUGUUCCAGGAAGAAAGGACUCACCGGCACUGGGCAAACAGACAGGCCGCACCCCGCCUACAAACAAACAAGCCAUAAAAGUUGAGCCACAGUGAUGACCCAGCGUGGUGAGAUGACGGCGCCCCCGCAGACGUGCCUCCCUCUCCAGUGCAAGCUGGCCUGCCAUCCCCACCCGUCUGCAGCCACCAGCGCCCCCCCCCGAUGAUGCGCCUGCCAUCGCUGGCCAGACUUCGGCAUUCUGGGGGGAAAAAGACGGGUUCUUUGGCGGAGACGGUUGCUGGGUCAGAGCGGUGCAGUUGCCAUUCAAGCCACACGGGGGCGACGAGUCCCUUAGCUCCGAUGGAAAAAGUAGGAACUUCACUGCAAUUGGAGACAGCACCAGACAGUCAAGGUCGCGGGACGCUGGAGCCUAUCCCAGCUGACUUCGGGCGAAAGGCGGACUACACCCUGAACUGGUCGCCAGUCAGUCACAGGGCACAUAUAGACGGACAACCAUUCGCACUCACAUUCACACAGUCCCUGAGUGGGAACUGUACCCACGCAGCCUGCACAAAAGUCAGGCGAGUGUACCACUACACCAUCAGUGACUAGUCAUAUAUAUUCGUGGGAAAAUUUUUAAUAUUAAGAGAAUAAAUUGUCAUUAAAAAAAGAGUAAUAUUAGUAGAAUGAAGAUGUAUUUUUUUCUCAGCAAAAAAAUUGUAGUGCUAGCGCAAUGAAGUAGAGUUUUUUUCACAGGAAAAAAGGCAUAAUAUUAUGAGAUUAAAAUCAUUUUUGUUGUUGUAUUACAAGACAAAAGUUGGAUUCAUUUAGGGGAGAAAAAGGGUAAUAUUACAAGAUUAAAAUCAUUAUUUUGGGGAAGAUUGCAUAUUAGUAUGAGAUUAAAGUUGCAUUAUUUCCAGAAAAAAAGUCAUAAUAAAAGAAAAAAGUUGCAUUUUAUCAAGAAUAAAAUUUAAAAAAUCUAAAUUAUUCUAAAUGUCGUAAAAUAAUGAAAAACGGCAUUGCGUGUGUGUGGCAAUUUUGAACUUCACUCAUUGGAAUAUAACUUAAAUCCCAUAAUAAUAUGAAAAGCAACAGUAUUCCCGAAAUAUUAAGUUUUUUUCCCACCUACUGCUUGAGUUGUUUCUGUGAGAUCAAAACAUAAGUUGCUUAUGUAACCAUGGUUCCAUGAAUCCCGAAUGACCUCCAGAAAGCGGUGCUGUAAGCACUGAAUAUUCCCUUUGCGCAUGCGGUGUCACACGGGGUUCAGUUCCUACAGAAUCUUGUCACGUGAACACGAGGAUUCUGAGUGACAGAGCACGCUGUCACGUUCAUUCGGGAUUCUUAGAACUGUAGUUACAUACGUAACGUUCGUUCUGCUGACCACCAGAAGGCGGUGCUGAAAGCACUGAAUGAAUAAAUCCAGCAAACUCACGAGGACAGGCUCCGCACAGCUUCUCAGCAGAGAGUCAGGCCAUACACCGGGAAAACCCGCAAGUGGCUCACCAGGGAGAUCACAUGUGACUUUUUUGGUAUACUUGCUCGAACUGCGCGUGUGCGAAGGAAUAUUCAGUGCUUUCAGCACCGCUUUCUGGGGGUCAUUCGGGAUUCAUGGAACCAUGGUUACAUACGCAACUUAUGUUUUGAUCUCACAGAAAACUUCAAACUAUUGUCUGAAGUGUUUUGAACUAGUGUUAUGAAGGUAAGAACAUGCAGAAUGCAUGCAGUGCUCAUUUCUGGAGGUUUGUUUGCUCAGAAGUAGUAUUUCUAUGAUUUGUAAUAAUAAAGUAAAUAAAGCAAUAAUGCAAAAUAAAGUUGUAUUUGUUCAAGAAAUAAGACAUGUUCUUAUGACUUUAAAGUCAGUUUUUUCCAGGAAAGAAGUAUGACGUUACAAAAAUAGUCUUUUUUGUUUUGUUUUGUUGUUCAGUUUAAAAAGGGGCCUUAAAUCACGUUUUUGUUUUUUUGUUUUUCGAAAAAAUAAGUUCUGAUACAAGAAAAAAGAUGUAAAGGUAAUUGAAAAAAAGAUUCUGGGAAAAUUUCAUAAUAUUGACUUUAAAGUCAUAUUUUUCCCCCAAAAAAAGGCAAAUUAAAGUGACUAAAGUCAUAUAUAUAAUAUAUAUAUAUGUAUAUAUAUAUUAUAUAUAUAUAUAUAUGUUAAAUAAAUUGUAGAAGUUAUCAUUUAUUUGCUUAGCUUGCAUUAGUAUAAUGGACUCGCCUUCAAAAAGAAGACUCAGCAUCAUCCGAUGGAAGGGCGCCUGGACCAAGGACGUGAUUGGAUGUGGUCGGGUCGUGACAGGUGUUGGUCCAAUAUUUUGUGUUGUGUCUUAUUGCUUAGAAUACUAUGUCUGGGAAAAACCCUCUUAUUAUCAAAUAUUUUGUGUUGUGUCUUAUUGCUUAGAACAUUAUGAUUUGUAAAUCCCUCCUAUUUCAAAUAAAUGCAGGAGCGAGGGGGGAGAUUGUUUAGAGCGUGUUGAGAGACUGUGAUCUGAACAAUCUCCCAUACGCCCUCCUCAUGAGAAAAAGAAACCAGCGUCUUCAUUCCUUUUGUGUCUAUUUUUUAUAAUGUUGGGUAAGAUAAAUCCAACAUUAAAUUGGUCCUUCGAGCCGGAUGUCAACACACCCGAGGAUUCCAGUUGUGGAGCCGACUUCCAGUUAAGAGACCGUGGCCACGGCAAGUAAGACCCUUUACGGGACUGGUCUUCGUUCUCCUCAACUGGGAUCUGAAGGUUGACGACAAUCCACAGGAUUGAAGACGAGUGGUGAGUUAAAUUUAAAAAAAAAAUUUUAGGAAAAAAGGAUUAAAGAGUGAGUGAAUUGCGCGACGAAGAAGUCUGCGGCAGAAUAAACCUUGUGUAAUACUAGUCACUGGCAAGUGGUCAGAAGGACGGCGGAGUCCGACAAAUUCCGCGAGGACGGCGGGGUCCUGUACGUACUUAAAUUCCGUGUUUCUGUGUUUCUGUGUUUCCGUGUUUUCGUGUGUUUAUAAAAACGUUAUUAAUAUCGUGUGUAUGUGUAAAAGUAUGAAUGUAUAAGACUGGAUUGUAAGUGACAACUGGGUUUGGAAGCAAAGGCAAGAAUUCUCCGCCCCGACUGGGGUAGAAGCUUGGGAAUUACCAAAACUCAGACAUUUAUUGUCACCCUGUCAUUUUUUUAAUAAAGUCAGUAUUUAGGUCACUCUAGGUGCAAAUGAACUGACUUCCAAAUUCACAAAAAUGGGAAUAAAUAACAGUAAACCGGAUCCAAAAAUAGACCUAACGUGUAAAGUUUGGAAAUAUGUUCAACUACAAAACCAUUCAAAAAUAGAACAUUUAAACAAGUGGAUAACCAAAUACAGUUUCGCUGGCCAGCUAAAUUCGCAAAAAAUAGUUCAACUUCAAAACGAAAUAAAGUGUCGACACAAAAAUGAUAUAUCACAAAUACAAAAAGAUGGAUUUGACGACUUACUCUUCUGGUUAAACAUGGCGUCUAAAAGAGAAAAAGGAAGGGAGAAUAAGAAACACUUAACAAAUGAACAAAAAGAGCAGGCAGGUAGGCAUAAAAAUAUGUUGUUUCAAAGACAGGAAGAUGACGAGACAGGACCAAUAAUAAGAAUUAGCGAGAAAAAGAUAAUUGAAGAAAGUUGUAAAAAAAAUGAGGAAACAAAAGCAUCAGCACACUUGUACCCGGUUUUGCCACCUCAUGAACUUCCUCCAACUCAAGAGUCAGAAACUCAACGAAUUUUACGAUCAGGAGGGGUACAAAUGAAUUGGUCUAAAACUAUGGUAGAAACAUUUUCUCCCAUUCCCAAAAUAACAAAUAUAACCUCAGACGAGGGAGACAUGGAUUUAUAUCCAAUGAUUGAGGUGGCAAAUCCAAAUAUACAAGAGGACCAGAAAGAAACUCUUUUUGUCUAUAGGACCUGGACUAAUGAGGAUGUGAAAAAGGCCGUAGCCGGCAUCACACCUUAUCAACAACAGUUAAAAAAUGCUUUACAUGCGAAUUCGAAAGAACACAUUAACAGAUGGGUAGAUAAACAUUGGAUAAACCUAGCAACUGGCCCUCUGGAGGAAUAUGUUAAUCAUGCCCUCCACGCAGAAAGAGUGUUAUAAAAAAAAAAAAAAGAGAA